rnacentral:rRNA from 1 species
CCUACGGGUGGCAGCAGUGAGGAAUAUUGGUCAAUGGGCGCGAGCCUGAACCAGCCAAGUAGCGUGAAGGAUGACUGCCCUAUGGGUUGUAAACUUCUUUUAUAAAGGAAUAAAGUGAGGCACGUGUGCCUUUUUGUAUGUACUUUAUGAAUAAGGAUCGGCUAACUCCGUGCCAACAGCCGAGGUAAUACGGAGGAUCCGAGCGUUUUCCGGAUUGAUUUGGUUUAAAGGGAGCGUAGAUGGGUUGUUAAGUCAGUUGUGAAAGUUUGCGGCUCAACCGUAAAAUUGCAAUUGAUACUGGCAGCCUUGAGUACAGUUGAGGUAGGCGGAAUUCGUGGUGUAGCGGUGAAAUGCUUAGAUAUAACGAAGAACUCCGAUUGCGAAGGCAGCUUACUAAACUGCCACUGACAUUGAUGCUCGAAAGUGUGGGUAUCAAACAGGAUUAGAUACCCGAGUAGUC